rnacentral:rRNA from 1 species
GAUGAACGCUGGCGGCGUGCCUAAUACAUGCAAGUCGAGCGAACAGAUGCUGCGUUUGUUCCUUUGUCGUUUGCGGCGGACGUGUGUGUCACACGUGUAUAACCUCCUUAUCUGACUGAUAUAACUUCGGGAAUCCGGCGCUAAUCCCGGAUAAUCUCUUGCUCCGUAUGGUUCAAUAGUGAAAGACGGUUUUGCUGUCUCUUAUAGAUGGAUCCGCGCCGCAUUAGCUAGUUGGUAAGGUAACGGCUUACCAAGGCGACGAUGCGUAGCCGAACUGAGAGGGUGGUCGGCCACACUGGAACGGAGACACGGUCCAGACGCCUAAGGGAGGCAGCAGUAGGGAAUCGGCCGCAAUGGGCGAAAGCCUGACGGAGCAACGCCGCGUGAGUGAUGAAGGUCUUCGGAUCGUAAAACUCUGUUAUUAGGGAAGAACAAAUGUGUAAGUAACUAUGCACGUCUUGACGGUACAUGAUCAGAAAGCCACGGCUAACUACGUG